CUUUCAGAAAGAGCCGCAUGUAACUCAAAAAGAGCCGCAUUUGCCCAUGUCUGUUACAGGCUCUCUAGUAUGGACCACUCUCUCAUUAUAGGCUCUCUCAUGGUGUGUUGUCUUGCUUGGACAAUACACCAUGUCAUACUAGUCACAUUGUUAUGGAUUGGAUGGAGGAUAUUGGCAUUUAAAAUAACUGGUCAUUCUAGAAUCCUGACUGAACCCUAAAAGAAAUAUUUGGGAUGAAUUGUCAGGAUUGGUGGAACAGUACAUCUUAUGCACAAUUUUAUAGAACAUGGAAUUCAGUUGUUCAUGAUUGGUUGUAUACAUAUGUUUACAGAGAUACAUAUCUUAUCACUAGGAAUAAAUUAUAUGCAUUAUUUACAGUAUUUUUUGUGUCUGCUGUUGUUCAUGAAUAUAUUGUGACCAGUAUAUUGCAUUUCUUUUAUCCUAUUUUGUUAUUCCUUUUUGGUAUAUUUGGUG